rnacentral:rRNA from 1 species
AGCGAACGCUGGCGGCAGGCCUAACACAUGCAAGUCGAACGAACUCUUCGGAGUUAGUGGCGGACGGGUGAGUAACACGUGGGAACGUGCCUUUUGGUUCGGAAUAACUCAGGGAAACUUGUGCUAAUACCGGCUGUGCCCUUCGGGGGAAAGAUUUAUCGCCAUUAGAGCGGCCCGCGUCUGAUUAGCUAGUUGGUGAGGUAACGGCUCACCAAGGCGACGAUCAGUAGCUGGUCUGAGAGGAUGACCAGCCACACUGGGACUGAGACACGGCCCAGACUCCUACGGGAGGCAGCAGUGGUGAAUCUUGCGCAAUGGGCGAAAGCCUGAACAAGCUAGGCCGCGUGAAUGAUCAAGGCGUUAGGUUCCUAAAAGCCUUUCACCGGCCACGACAAUGCCCUGACCCGGAGAAGAAGCCCUGGACAACCUCGUG